UGCCUCAUCAGGUUUGCAUUUUCUGUUCACUUGAGUUUGGUCCAAUCUACUAGCCCAUACUUUCCAAAUUUUGUCUGAUCUAAAAGUGCAUUGAAUUCCAGAGCUCUAGAUGCAUAAGUUUUUUUUUUUCCUAGUUCUUUGGGUUUAUUGGGUUUACAGGAUGUGAUCAGAAGCAUGAAGAAGAAAUGGACUUUAAAGCAAUUUACAAGAAUUUCGUCCUUGGGGUAAUGGCAGCUAGAAGUCCCAAUUACUACAACGAAAUGUCUACUGUCAGCUCCUGCGAAACCAUCCAGAUCUAGAUCCAGAUUAUCAAGGAUGGCUAUGUUAUCUUCAAUUUCCAAAAUGAUAGUUAGUUGCAAUAAACAGAGGCUCAAAUCUAUUCAUCCAGUGGCUCCGACCCCUAACAACACUAACGUGGCUGAAAUUCUUUUACCGACAUGUAGUAGAAGAUCAGAGCUCCGGAAUCCAGCACUUUUCACAGAGAAGUCGAACAGAAAAUGGCUGCAUCUACUCCUUAUAGAUACACUAUUUCGAAACAGCAAAAUAACCUUGCCCCUACAGUGUUGCGGUGCAGGGAAUGCGUAAAAAUGACCAUAGAAUUUUAACAUGUCGGGCAAUUAUCAAAGCCCAUUCUACCCCACAUUCUAAAUGUAUGUGGAUCGGAGAGUUUACUAUUCAUUGUCAAAUUUGGUUUUUCAAGGCAUUUAGCUUCUUAUAGAUGA